UCAGUGCCAUAAUGUUGUUACGAGCAAAUUGUUCUAUGUGGGCUGUGCACACUAAUAUAAUCACUGAAAAACUAAAAAAGCUGAAGUUACUACCUUAUGUGUCUUAUUCCUUCCUUGCCUUAUUUGGUUUAAUGUUGUCUUGUAUGUUAAUCAGAAAUAUUUUGCUUUUAAAAUUUUGUUAGGUAUAUUCCUUUAUUGAACUCGACAUUCACGUUUCCCCAAAGCCUUGGUAUCCUUGGUGGUAGACCUAGUGCUUCAACUCAUUGUCGGCCUGCAGGAUGAAGAGGCUUUCUACCUUGAUCCACAUGAAGUUCAGCCGGUAGUUGAUAUCAGGAGGGAUAAUCUAGAGGCUGAUACUUCAUCUUAUCACUGCAACGUUGUGCGGCACGUACCACUUGACUCCGUUGAUUCAUCCUUGGCAAUUGGGUUUUAUUGCAGAGACAAAGAUGAUUUUGAUGAUUUUUGUAACCGUGCUU